rnacentral:misc_RNA from 1 species
AAUUUUCACUCGCUUCUACGUGAGCGGCGUCCUGCCGCGUUGUUUUGCCUCAUCUCUGGGCCCCUCCCGUAUAGCCGUCCGCCGACUUUCGUCUGUGCUUUCUUUGCUGCGGUGUCUUGCGUCGAGCGGCUCGCUGCACGUCUCUUCGUCAACGUGCAGGCACACAAGCACUCUGUGGCUUAUCAGCCCCAUAGCGGCGCCCCAGGCAGGGUGUGCAAGUGGACUUGAGUAGGAGGGUACAGUCGUUGCUAUAAUCUGUGCUUCAUUGGUUCUUCUGGUGACGUGGUGUGACAUAGGUCUGCUCACGUGUCAGACACACCACUUAUUCCCUCGACCUUAGCACGUCGUUGCCAUUUGGUGCCGCCAUCCUUCUCGAUCACUACCGCCGUUAUCGCUGCUUACCGUCGUCAUCAUGAGCGGGCUGGAGCUUAUCGCACUUGUGCCGAUUGGCAUUGCCGGGUGGAAGCUUUUCCAGAAGCUGGGAGACCAGCAGAGCCUCAUAGCGCAGCACGAGCUGACCAUCAAUAGCCAGAAGGAAAUGCUGGAGUCCAUCGUGAACGCCGAUAGAGCUGGCCCGUUGAGUCGACUCAACCUCGCGGUGGUUGCCGGCACGCUGGUCUUGGCUGGGACGGUGACCUACAAAAGCUGGACACUUACAAAGUCAUUCACGGUUCGGCCACCGCCCAACUACGAGCCUACGCCAGCCACGUUCGACGCGGAGCAGUGCGUUAUUUGCUUAGAAAACUGCAAAGACACCGUCUUUCUGCCAUGCCGACACCUGUGCACGUGCUGGAGCUGCGCGAGUCGCAUCGGGAACAGUGCCUGUCCGACCUGCCGAGCACCGAUUCAGGCUAUGCAGUUUGUCUACCAGCAAUGAGAGAAAAUGGGGGUGGUGUAGCCAUCUCUCGGCUGAUCAUCUCAUUCCCGCCAGCACGCGUGACAGAGGCAGCUGCCCACCCACCCCUCCCUAGCUCUCUCAGUCACUUUCGACCCUUUUCAUUUUGUUUGCUUCAGCGUGUCAUGCUUUACCCAGCUUUUCGAUGGUUCACUCCGCGGUGCUCGAUUUAUGUUGCCCCGCAUGCAUGUGCGCACGUGGGUCCGCCUGUACAGUCUUGCGCAUCGAGGGGAGUACGGCGGCUGCUACGAAUGCUGCUUUGGGUAGUCAUGGCAGUGCGACGCCCUAGCGAAUCCAGUCGGUAUGUGCAUGUUUCCUAUGUUCCCUCAGUGGCUGAGCCCUGCUGUUGAUGACGCAAGGGCUUGCCCUUCUCCUUAUUGCUGUUUCUCUCCUGCCUCCUCUCGCGCUUCAACCACGUUGUUGCUCAACGCCUUGCGCAGGAAAAGCGGGGAGGAACAGGGGGGAGGUGUAGCCACACCACAUACCCCACCCCAGCUCUUUUUUUCUGAUAUACAAGAAAGAGGGAGGCGAGAGAUACGUCUUCUUCGUGUCUCGGGCUGCGUGCCCUGCGUGAAUCGUUGUUCCGCCUCUCACACUCUGUCUUGCAUCGGUCUCUCUCCGUCCUUCCCUUUCCUCUUCCUGCUACCACCGUUAUGGUGGAUGUCUUUUGCUUUCUUGGCUGGUGUGACUCCUACGCGCUUUUCAUUGCACUCUUCUUUUUUGCACCUCCCCUUCCAG